rnacentral:rRNA from 1 species
CAGUAGCCGCGGUAAUACGAAGGGUGCAAGCGUUAAUCGGAAUUACUGGGCGUAAAGCGUGCGUAGGCGGUUUGUUAAGUCUGUUGUGAAAUCCCCGGGCUCAACCUGGGAACUGCAUUUGUGACUGGCAAGCUAGAGUGUGGCAGAGGGGGGUGGAAUUCCGCGUGUAGCAGUGAAAUGCGUAGAUAUGCGGAGGAACACCGAUGGCGAAGGCAGCCCCCUGGGCCAACACUGACGCUCAUGCACGAAAGCGUGGGGAGCAAACAGGAUUAGAUACCCCUGUAGUCCCUGUCUCUUAUAC